rnacentral:rRNA from 1 species
AGUUUGAUCCUGGCUCGAAUGAACGCUGGCGGCAGGCCUAACACAUGCAAGUCGAACGGAGUUAUAUUGUAGCUUGCUAUGGUAUAACUUAGUGGCAGACGGGUGAGUAAUGUAUAGGAAUCUACCUAGUAGUACGGAAUAAUUGUUGGAAACGGCAACUAAUACCGUAUACGCCCUACGGGGGAAAAAUUUAUUGCUAUUAGAUGAGCCUAUAUUAGAUUAGCUAGUUGGUGGAGUAAUAGCCUACCAAGGCAAUGAUCUAUAGCUGAUCUGAGAGGAUGAUCAGCCACACUGGAACUGAGAUACGGUCCAGACUCCUACGGGAGGCAGCAGUGGGGAAUAUUGGACAAUGGGCGAAAGCCUGAUCCAGCCAUGCCGCAUGAGUGAAGAAGGCCUUUGGGCUGUAAAGCUCUUUUAGUGAGGAAGAUAAUGACGGUACUCACAGAAGAAGUCCUGGCUAACUCCGUGCCAGCAGCCGCGGUAAUACGGAGAGGGCUAGCGUUAUUCGGAAUUAUUGGGCGUAAAGGGCGCGUAGGCGGAUUAGUAAGUUAAAAGUGAAAUCCCAAGGCUCAACCUUGGAAUUGCUUUUAAAACUGCUAAUCUAGAGAUUGAAAGAGGAUAGAGGAAUUCCUAGUGUAGAGGUGAAAUUCGUAAAUAUUAGGAGGAACACCAGUGGCGAAGGCGUCUAUCUGGUUCAAAUCUGACGCUGAGGCGCGAAGGCGUGGGGAGCAAACAGGAUUAGAUACCCUGGUAGUCCACGCUGUAAACGAUGAAUGUUAAAUAUGGGAAGUUUUACUUUCUGUAUUACAGCUAACGCGUUAAACAUUCCGCCUGGGGACUACGGUCGCA